CGCUCCAUGAAAAAUAUAUGGAGUCGAGCCUGCCCAGUGAUAAUAAUUUAACGGCCGCGGUACUCUGACCGUGCAAAGGUAGCAUAAUCAUUUGCCCUAUAAUUGAGGGCUAGCAUGAACGGUUUAACAAAAGUAUAACUGUCUCUUGAAAAAUAAAUAAAACUUGGUUUUUAGGUGAAGAAACCUAGAUAAAAUUGAAAGACAAGAAGACCCUAUCGAACUUAAAAGCAUUUUAAUGAACAACUAUUAAAAUUAAUAUCACUAAAAAAUUUUGGUUGGGGCGACCAAGGAACAAUAAAAGCUUCCUCUAAACAAUAAGUACCAAUAAGUAAUGAUCCAAAAACAACUGAUUAAAAAAAUUAGCUACCGUAGGGAUAACAGCAUAAUCUUUUUUGAGAGUUCUUAUCGAAAAAAAGGUUUGUGACCUCGAUGUUGGACUAGGAUAUCCUGAUAGAUGCAGAAGUCUUCAAAGGUUGGUCUGUUCGACCAAUAAAAUCCU
rnacentral:rRNA from 1 species